rnacentral:tRNA from 1 species
GGUGGCUCAGUGGUAGAGUGCUUGCCUUGCAUGCAUGAGGCCUUGGGUUGGAUUCCCCAGCACCA